AGUGAACGCUGGCGGUAGGCCUAACACAUGCAAGUCGAACGGCAGCACAGUAAGAGCUUGCUCUUACGGGUGGCGAGUGGCGGACGGGUGAGGAAUACAUCGGCAUCUACUUUUUCGUGGGGGAUAACGUAGGGAAACUUACGCUAAUACCUCAUACGACCUACGGGUGAAAGCAGGGGAUCUUCGGACCUUGCGCGAUUGAAUGAGCCGAUGUCGGAUUAGCUAGUUGGCGGGGUAAAGGCCCACCAAGGCGACGAUCCGUAGCUGGUCUGAGAGGAUGAUCAGCCACACUGGAACUGAGACACGGUCCAGACUCCUACGGGAGGCAGCAGUGGGGAAUAUUGGACAAUGGGCGCAAGCCUGAUCCAGCCAUACCGCGUGGGUGAAGAAGGCCUUCGGGUUGUAAAGCCCUUUUGUUGGGAAAGAAAAGCAGCAGGUUAAUACCCCGCUGUUCUGACGGUACCCAAAGAAUAAGCACCGGCUAACUUCGUG
rnacentral:rRNA from 1 species